GCGGUUAGUGGCGGACUGGUGAGUAACACGUAAGCAACCUGCCUGUUAGAGGGGAAUAACAGUGAGAAAUCACUGCUAAAACCGCAUAUGCCGUGAACAUCGCAUGAUGAAAACGGGAAAAGAGCAAUCUGCUAAUAGAUGGGCUUGCGUCUGAUUAGCCAGUUGGUGUGGUAAAGGCAUACCAAGGCAACGAUCAGUAGCCGGACUGAGAGGUUGAACGGCCACAUUGGGACUGAGAUACGGCCCAGACUCCUACGGGAGGCAGCAGUCGGGAAUAUUGCGCAAUGGAGGAAACUCUGACGCAGUGACGCCGCGUAUGGGAAGAAGGUUUUCGGAUUGUAAACCAUUUUAGACAAGGAAGAAACAAGACAGUACUUGUAGAAUAAGCUCCGGCUAACUACGUGCCAGCAGCCGCGGUAAUACGUAGGGAGCAAGCGUUAUCCGGAUUUAUUGGGUGUAAAGGGUGCGUAGACGGGAAGGUAAGUUAGUUGUGAAAUCCCUCGGCUCAACUGAGGAACUGCGACUAAAACUGCUUUUCUUGAGUGCUGGAGAGGAAAGUGGAAUUCCUAGUGUAGC
rnacentral:rRNA from 1 species